UACAGAGGUCUCAAGCGUUGUUCGGAUUCAUUGGGCGUAAAGGGUGCGUAGGCGGCGGGGUAAGUCGGAUGUGAAAUCCCAGGGCUCAACCCUGGAACUGCAUUCGAUACUGCCUUGCUAGAGUGCUGGAGAGGAGACUGGAAUUUACGGUGUAGCAGUGAAAUGCGUAGAUAUCGUAAGGAAGACCAGUGGCGAAGGCGAGUCUCUGGACAGUUACUGACGCUGAGGCACGAAGGCCAGGGGAGCAAACGGG
rnacentral:rRNA from 1 species